UGCUUUUUAUUCUGUUUUCCUGCCCUAGUCCAAGAAUGCUUUUCUGCUUUCUUUCUUUGAGUUUUUGCUCAGGAGGAUCAAAGCAGUACGGUUGGAUUCUGUUUUUCAAAGGUUGAUGGAAAUUUGAUCUCAGUGCACAAGUUUUCUGUAUUAGUGAGGAAAAGUAGCUUUGUAAGUUGUCCACAUUCUGAACUAUACUACAAGCUGAAACUAGAAGCUGAAGAUGGACUUAACAGGUAACUUCCUUGCCUCCAGAAUUUGAAUAGUCCCAAAGUUCAGAUGACUGUGG
rnacentral:lncRNA from 1 species